GCCUGGGUGGCUCAGUCGGUUAAGCGUCUGACUUCGGCUCAGGUCAUGAUCUCGUGGUUCGCGGGUUCGAGCCCCGCGUCGGGCU
rnacentral:tRNA from 1 species